rnacentral:lncRNA from 1 species
CUUCGAGAUGCUCGGCUGCCCCAGCCCAUAAGUGGCUGCUCUCCCUCUCCCCGCCCGGGGCCCGCACCCCACAGCCGCUGGUCUUCAACAGACCACAAGGGCGUGCGGGCCGCUGCCGUCCUGCCCUACCCACUCGUGAGUAACGCCUCUCUCCGCCACGCCCCCCCCACCCCUCCCGCGGUUUCCCACGCCAGUGCCCACUCGGCGCCACUCACCGUACGUCGGGUCCGGGGGCCGUCUUGCUGCGAGGGCCGGGGCAGUUAAGGAGAAAGCACCCAGCGGGGGGCCGCGAGUACCCGCACGCAGGGCACGCUCUGGCGAGGGCGCGCGGCGAGGCGCGAGGCCGAGGCGGUGCUAGCGCCAGAGCUUCCAAGGGAGAGAAGCCUCGGAGCGUGCGCAGUCGGACUCAGGCCGUCACCCUGCGCUUGCCUUUGUUGGGUUACCCCCUUGGUUUUAGUUUUAGAUGCAGAAAUUGGAUAUGGCCACAUUUUGAAUUUUGAAAGGUCAACAACACGAAUCUCACUAUCUGGGAUUUGGAACAUUGAUGCACCAAGGAGCUGGACAUGAACUUGGUUGGAACAACAACAUGAGAGAAAUGAACAAAGUUUUAGUCUAAUCUCCCUAGAGAGCAAAAUGAGACAGGGGAGAUUGUACUGCCAAAUUCUGGGGAAGGGGGAAAUGUCUCUAAUUUUGCCAUUAGUAUAUCUUCAAAAUAAAUUCUUUUUAUGAAAGUUAAUUGAUGUUAAA